UAGUGGUGGCCACAACGAGGUACUAAAACCACUUCCGAUCAUGUGCGGAGAAUUCGGCGAGAGUGCCAGCGCAGGCUAUGCUCCAGGCUAUGCUCCAGAGGAGGAGAUCCUGAGGGGAGAUCUGGAUGGAGCAUCAGCGGAGUCAGUCUUUGAAGGAACAGAUGACAGCACUGGGCAAGGAGGCAGCGGCUGCACGGAGCUGUCACUCACACAUCGUCAUCCGUUACAAAGGAUGAGGACGCCAACCAGUAGCAGAGACCGCGGCCCCAAGAGCUGGGAGUUUCUGAUGAAUCUUUUGGCUGACAGCAGAUACAACCCUUCUCUCAUCAAGUGGGAUGACGAGCAGCGCUUCAUAUUCCGUCUGGUGAAGCCUUGCGAGGUCGCCGAGAUGUGGGCCUCCAGGAAGGCUCAGAACAAUGGCAUCGACAAAAACAACUUCGCUCGUAA